CUCACUCUCAAAAAAACCAACCUUUUCACCACCUCCACCCUGUUUGGAACAAAAGAAAAUAUUAGAAAAACAAAAGAAAAUUAAACAAACGCGUCAAAAAAGACAAGCGAAACUCUCUGGUUUCGUUCAGAGAAUCGAGGCUAAUUCGAUUAAUCGCUCAGUUCGAAGAACAACCACACCGCCGACGAAGGUCCGCGGCUAUUUCGACUUCUGAUUGCGUUCUCUGUUUUGAAUGGCUUUCAUCGUUUAGCAAAUUAGGUUUAGGGCUUUUUGGAUUUUGAUUAGAGGCCUUCAAAUUGGUGUGCCGUUGUACUUUGUUCGAUUAUAGUCGUAUUAGAAUUAAGGGUUAGAUAAAUUUCCUUUUUUC